GGGGGUCUACUCAGGGACUGGCUGAACAUUAGUCAAUUGUUGGUGGCUGUCCUGUGUUGGAAUGUGUAUUAUCCCUGUACUCUGCUCUUACUCCAUAGAUCAAACAGCUACAAGGGCCACAGAGGAGCAAUAGCCUUGCCUCUGGACUGUGAAGUAAUGUUAGAGGAGUGUAAGAUGGCAUCAGAGUGAUUAGUUGUCAUCUAACUCCCUUCAAGGAAACAAAGAAUUUGAAGACUGGCCACUAACUACAUAGGUGUGGUGGGUUGACCUUGGCGGGCUGCCAAACAACCACUCAGGUGCUUUCUUGUUCUUCAGUGGGAGAGGAAGAAAAAUAAGACAAAGAACCUC